rnacentral:piRNA from 1 species
CCACGGCAAAACUCUUGAUGGGCUUUUUGU